CCUGGACAGAGGGCCACCCACACUCCUGACUCCUCUGUCUGACCUCAGGUCCCAGAGAGAAGGGAGAACGCUGGCCCUACGAGGCUGACCAACUUGUCCAAGGUCACACCGCACAUGGCCCAGUUGAGACCUUUCUUCCGUGGCAGAGUCAGUAUCUUUUCUAGUAAGUACAAAGACGUCAAAGGGUCUGAGUGAGCCAGAGAAGAAGGAUGUCCUUGGUGGCCCUCCACACUGACCAGUACAAGUCUUGGAGCAGAAGGAUGGACUAGUCCGGGUCGUCAUGCCUCGCCCUGCCUCCAGCCAGCUGCACAGGAGCAGUCAUGGGUGAGAACACACAUUCUUUGAGCCAGUAAGUCCACCAUGGAAGAACAGAUGUUUUUUCACAGAUACACGUGCAUGUACAAAGAUUCAUUACAGCACUGUUGAGAAUAGCAAGAGACUAGAAACAACCUAAAUGUCUAUC